rnacentral:rRNA from 1 species
AGUGAACGCUGGCUGCGUGCUUAAUUCAUGCAAGUCGAACGAUGAAGCUUCUCGUUUUCUAGUGGUGGAGUAGCGGCUCACGUGUGUUUAAUAUAUAGUUCAUCUGCUUUUCACUGAGGAACAACAGUUAGAAAUGAUUUCUAAUACCUCAUACUCUACAUUAGCAUUAUUUUUCUUUGAAAAGUCUUUUCGGUGCAAGAUGAGACGAUAUCGUAUCAGCUAGUUGGUAAGGUAAUGGCUUACCCAGGCUAUGACGCGUAACUUGACUGAGAGGAUGGUCAGUCACAUUGGGAUUGAGACACGGUCCAAAUUCCUACGGGAGGGAGCAGUAAGGAAUAUUGUGCAAUGGGGGAAGCCCUGACGCAGCAACGGCGCGUGGAGGAUGACACUUUUCGGAGCGUAAACUCCUUUUGUUAAGGAAGAAUAAUGACGGUACCUAAUGAAUAAGCACCGGCUAACUCCGUG